AACCCAACAAGUCCUCCAACUCAUACGACCGUAUGGGUCGUUUGUCACUAUCCAUAAAUACGACCCACACGAGCGUUCUCUAAAUUAGCGCCCCUAUUGGCAACAGGAGAUGUUCGUGGAUUUUGAUGAUAUGGAUUUUAGAUGACUUCGAGACAUGUACAGUUUUGCAGUUUCUUCAUAUCACAUACAUCUCCAGCUCCUACAACAACAUUCAGUGUCCAGCAGCUCUUUAUGAUGCUCUCUCUCUCUCUCUCUCUCUCUCUCUCUCUCUCUCUCUUCUCUCUCUCUCUCUCUCUCUCUCUCUCUCAUUUUCGUUUCCUAUUUUUCUGAACUGUAAUUCAUAAAUAAGUCACACAUAUUUUUCUUUCUUUCUCUUGUUCAUCAUGGCAUAUUUUCACAGCUCAGAAUCAGAUUUUGAUCAGUUCUUGUAUUAACAGGGAACUUGUACUCGAAGCUCAACUUGAAGAAGUUUCCAGUGAAGAUGAAGUCCUUCAAAGGUUCGACACAGCUGAAAAGGAAGACCAUGGGCCUGUCAAACCUUGUUUGUGGAGAGGGAUGAAUUUGACCAUCUUGUGUGUUUACGGAGAAGACCAAAAGCUGCUAAGGCAGAUAUUUCCAGAGGUACAAACAGAGCGGAUGGUUGCAUGAUGGCCUCUUUCAGGUUUGUCAACUGAAUGUCUACUAGUGUGGCUCAGCAAGUUCCUGUCAUGAUCAGCCCUCUCCAAGAAAGCUGAAGAGCAAAAACACAAAGAACAUCAGUCCUGUUGGGGAUGAGGAAUGAACAUGGCUCUAUUGUGCCCAAACAGAAAAGAGUGAAAAGUCCUAGAAUGAACAAAUCAUCAGGGCAUCAUUUCUGGAAUUUGGGCAGAAAAUGACUGAAUAUGAAAGACUGCAGUAGAAGGAAAGCUGGUACUGAGAACAUUUGUCUUCACUCCAGACUAAAGAGAAGCGGGUCUGAGGCCAGAGAUGGAGGAGUCAAUGGUCACCAAAUGCAGCGCUGCAGCCUGAAACUGUGAAGACUGAAUUCCCAAACAGCUGUGUGACUGCACAGAUGUUACGGCCAUAAAAGAAACUUCACAACUGAGAGCCCAUACCUCCAACAACCUUCAACAGGAAUCAAUGGACAUCUACGCAAGGUUUUUCUUUUGUUGAGGACCGUCAGAGACUCCAGCCACACGAGCCAUGGAUUGCUCUCAACAUCACCAUCAGACAGACAUUAUCACAGAACCAGCACCAGCAGACUGCAAAACAAGUUCCUUCAACAGGCAAUCAGACUGAACUGAACUCGUACCAGUAACACCACACACACACACACACACACACACACACAUACACACACCAGCAGCCUCAUACUGUGUGCACUGCACUCUAUCAGCUACACUGACUGGACUCUGACUCACUAUUAUUCUGCAACCUGAUAUUCUGUUUGCACUAAUUCAUACUGUACUGAAAGUGAAAGUGACGUGACAUACAGUCAAGUAUGGUGACCCAUACUCAGAAUUUGUGCUCUGCAUUUAACCCAUCCGAAGUGCACACACACAGAGCAGUGAACACACACACACUGUGAACACACACCCGGAGCAGUGGGCAGAGGUAUAUCUACAGUAUACAGUGAUUGUUGUUAAUUGUUUUCAUUUUGUUCUCUCUGUAUAGUAUAGUAUUGCACUAUAUUUUCUACCUGUAUUGAGCUCUUAUGUAUACGGUUUAUAUUUUUGAUACUGUAUAUGUGUUGCAAAUAUAUUCAGUACUUGUCAUGCUGCAGUUUGCAGAAAAGCAUUUUACCACCUGUAUACUUGCAUUCAUGGUAUUGUGAUAAUAAAAUGAUUUGAUUUGAA